GAUGAACGCUGGCGGCGUGCCUAAUACAUGCAAGUCGAGCGAACAGACGAGGAGCUUGCUCCUCUGACGUUAGCGGCGGACGGGUGAGUAACACGUGGAUAACCUACCUAUAAGACUGGGAUAACUUCGGGAAACCGGAGCUAAUACCGGAUAAUAUAUUGAACCGCAUGGUUCAAUAGUGAAAGACGGUUUUGCUGUCACUUAUAGAUGGAUCCGCGCCGCAUUAGCUAGUUGGUAAGGUAACGGCUUACCAAGGCAACGAUGCGUAGCCGACCUGAGAGGGGAAUCGGCCACACUGGAACUGGGAAAGGGGCCAAACUCCAACGGGGGGCAGCAGUGGGGAAUCUUCCGCAAUGGGGGAAAGCCUGACGGGGAAACGCGGGGGGGGGAAUAAAGGUUUUCGGAUCGUAAAACUCUGUUAUUAGGGAAGAAAAAAUGUGUAAGUAACAAUGCACGUCUUGACGGUACCUAAGCAGAAAGCAACGGCUAACUACGU
rnacentral:rRNA from 1 species